AGUGAACGCUGGCGGUAGGCCUAACACAUGCAAGUCGAACGGCAGCACAGUAAGAGCUUGCUCUUACGGGUGGCGAGUGGCGGACGGGUGAGGAAUACAUCGGAAUCUACUUUUUCAUGGGGGAUAACGUAGGGAAACUUACGCUAAUACCGCAUACGACCUACGGGUGAAAGCAGGGGAUCUUCGGACCUUGCGCGAUUGAAUGAGCCGAUGUCGGAUUAGCUAGUUGGCGGGGUAAAGGCCCACCAAGGCGACGAUCCGUAGCUGGUCUGAGAGGAUGAUCAGCCACACUGGAACUGAGACACGGUCCAGACUCCUACGGGAGGCAGCAGUGGGGAAUAUUGGACAAUGGGCGCAAGCCUGAUCCAGCUAUACCGCGUGGGUGAAGAAGGCCUUCGGGUUGUAAAGCCCUUUUGUUGGGAAAGAAAAGCAGCAGGUUAAUACCCCGCUGUUCUGACGGUACCCAAAGAAUAAGCACCGGCUAACUUCGUG
rnacentral:rRNA from 1 species